rnacentral:rRNA from 1 species
AUGGGGAUGCGUUCCAUUAGGUUGUUGGCGGGGUAACGGCCCACCAAGCCUUCGAUGGAUAGGGGUUCUGAGAGGAAGGUCCCCCACAUUGGAACUGAGACACGGUCCAAACUCCUACGGGAGGCAGCAUG